rnacentral:rRNA from 1 species
UAAGCGCUGAAAGCAUCUAAGCGCGAAGCCAUCCCCAAGAUAAGUCUUCCCUUGAGGGGCGUAGGAGACGACUACGUCGAUAGGUUGCAGAUGUAAAGACAGUAAUGUCAAAGUCGAGCAAUACUAAUUACCCGAUAGGCUUUCUUGC